rnacentral:rRNA from 1 species
AUGAACUUCCAAGACGUGUACACGCUCCAGCAGGCGCUCGACGUCGCCCCGCCGCCUCGUCUGAACACGGCACAAGACCGUGCGGAGCACGCCGAGCGGCAGCGCGGCCUCCUCGUCGCCCAGGAGGACGAGCGGGUCAUGGCGGAGUGGCGCCAGCGCCACCCGGAGGACGUCGCCUACGAGCAAGGCUACUGGGCAAGGCGUCGCGAGGAGGACACGCAAAGGCGCCGCGAGACGCGGUUGGACAGGCGUCGGCGGAAGGCGUUGGCGAACGCGAAGACCGAUCUCGUUGCAGCAGGUGGGAGGUCGUUCUUCACGAAGAACUAUGAUCGUUGGUUGGACAUAUGGCUAUCAACCUUGGACGACACCGCCGAGGAUGAUAAUGGUGAUGAUGAUGAUAGUGACUUAGAAUAG